GGGGUUGUGGCUCAGUAGUAGAGCACUUGCCUCACACAUGCAAGACCCUGGGUUCUAUCCUCAGCAACACAU
rnacentral:tRNA from 1 species